rnacentral:rRNA from 1 species
UGAGGAAUAUUGGUCAAUGGACGAGAGUCUGAACCAGCCAAGUAGCGUGAAGGAUGACUGCCCUAUGGGUUGUAAACUUCUUUUAUAUGGGAAUAAAGUGAGCCACGUGUGGCUUUUUGUAUGUACCAUACGAAUAAGGAUCGGCUAACUCCGUGCCAGCAGCCGCGGUAAUACGGAGGAUCCGAGCGUUAUCCGGAUUUAUUGGGUUUAAAGGGAGCGUAGGCGGAUUAUUAAGUCAGUUGUGAAAGUUUGCGGCUCAACCGUAAAAUUGCAGUUGAUACGGGUAGUCUUGAGUGCAGCAGAGGUAGGCGGAAUUCGUGGUGUAGCGGUGAAAUGCUUAGAUAUCACGAAGAACUCCGAUUGCGAAGGCAGCUUACUGGACUGUAACUGACGCUGAUGCUCGAAAGUGUGGGUAUCAAACAGG